UACAGAGGGUGCGAGCGUUAAUCGGAAUUACUGGGCGUAAAGCGCGCGUAGGCGGCUUUGCAAGUCGGGUGUGAAAUCCCCAGGCUUAACCUGGGAACUGCAUUCGAGACUGCAUUGCUAGAGUAUGGGAGAGGGAAGUGGAAUUUCCGGUGUAGCGGUGAAAUGCGUAGAUAUCGGAAGGAACACCAGCGGCGAAGGCGGCACUCUGGGCUGGUACUGACGCUGAGGAGCGAAAGCGUGGGUAGCAAACAGG
rnacentral:rRNA from 1 species